AGGGAAUGGCUACAGCUUUCGACGACUGGAUCACAAAGUACGGCGACGUCGUUGGGUACUUUCACGGGUCCAUUCCUGCGGUGCUUACAAGUGAUCCCGAAAUGAUCAAGCAGGUGUUCGUGAAGGAUGGCAAGACAAUUACGGGAAGGCAGGUUUUCACCUACGUCACAAAACCCCUGCUACUUAACCAAGUACGACUCACGAGGGUGUUCGGCCAGGAUUGGAAGGAGCUUCGGGGCCUGAUAUCUCCUACGUUUAAAGGUUCUUACAUGA